rnacentral:rRNA from 1 species
ACGGUAACAGUCCUUCGGGAGCUGACGAGUUGCGAACGGGUGCGUAACGCGUAUGCAACCUACCUAUAACUGAGGGAUAGCCCAUAGAAAUGUGGAUUAAUACCUCAUAACAACUAAAGAUGGCAUCAUCUUAAGUUUAAAACUCCGGUGGUUAUAGAUGGGCAUGCGUGACAUUAGCUAGUUGGUGAGGUAACUGCUCACCAAGGCAACGAUGUCUAGGGGUUCUGAGAGGAUGAUCCCCCACACUGGUACUGAGACACGGACCAGACUCCUACGGGAGGCAGCAGUGAGGAAUAUUGCGCAAUGGAGGAAACUCUGACGCAGCCAUGCCGCGUGCAGGAUGACUGCCCUAUGGGUUGUAAACUGCUUUUAUAUAGGAAGAACUACAGAUACGUGUAUUUGUUUGACGGUACUAUACGAAUAAGGACCGGCUAACUCCGUGCCAGCAGCCGCGGUAAUACGGAGGGUCCAAGCGUUAUCCGGAUUUAUUGGGUUUAAAGGGUCCGUAGGCGGGUCAUUAAGUCAGUGGUGAAAUCCUACAGCUCAACUGUAGAACUGCCAUUGAAACUGGUGACCCUGGAAUAUAAUUGAAGUAGGCGGAAUGUGUCAUGUAGCGGUGAAAUGCUUAGAUAUGCCACAGAACACCGAUUGCGAAGGCAGCUUACUAAGUUAUUAUUGACGCUGAGGGACGAAAGCGUGGGUAGCGAACAGGAUUAGAUACCCUGGUAGUCCACGCCGUAAACGAUGUAUACUCGUUGCUAGCGAUACACAGUUAGUGACCA